UGCCCGGCCCUGCCCGGCCCUGCUCGGCCCUGCCCGGCUCUGCGCCGCCGGGGCCAUGUCCGGGCCCGAGCCGGGGCUGCGGCUCCGCUUCCAGCGGCGGUUCCUGGCGGCGCGGCCGCUCCGGUCGCUGCCCUGGCCGGAGCUGGAACAAAACCUGCGGGCUGCGCCGGACUCGCCCCUGCUCCGGGAUAUCCUGCACCAGACCAUCCUCCACCCUCUGUGUGUGAAAUAUCCCCCCUCAACCAAGUACAGGAGGUGCUUUCUGACUGAGCUCAUCAAAAAGCACGAAUCCACAGCAGCUGAACCCCUGGAUGAACUGUAUAAUACACUGGCAGAUGUUUUAAAAGAAGAAGAAUCUACUCAGUGUUACAAAAACUACUUACUGCCCACAGGAGACUGUGUGACCCUUUCUGAGAGCACAGCCAUGAUCUCUGGGGGCACCACGGGGCUCGUCACGUGGGAGGCUGCUCUGCACCUCGCCGGGUGGGCAGGGGGGAACCCCGAGGUGUUCAGGGCCAGGACAGUCUUGGAAUUAGGAAGUGGGAUUGGCUUCACUGGAAUUGCCAUCUGUAAGACCUGCCAACCCAAGACAUACAUAUUUAGUGACUGCCACCCCUGUGUUCUCAGACAGCUGGGAGAGAACAUCCGUCUCAAUGGCUUCCAAGUGACCUGGUGUAUCCAAACAGAGCCCCAAGGGCAGGAGGUGGAAGCAAAGAACUGCCAAACCCCAAAACUGAUGGUUGCAGAACUUGACUGGGGCUCAGUGGCAGAGGAACAGCUGGUGGGUCUCCAGCCUGACGUUGUCAUCGCAGCAGAUGUGGUGUAUGAUCCAGAGAUAAUUUUAGCCCUCAUUGGGAUGCUACAGAAACUCUCCACCUCGAGAGCAGACAGAAAAGCUCCCGAGGUCUUCAUUGCCUUCACACUCCGUAACCCAGACACGUAUCACCUCUUCCAGGCUGAACUGGAUAAAGUCGGGAUCAGGUGGCAGAUUAUUCCAGCCCACGGCAACAGUAAUUUUCUCUAUGAUGUGCAGCCAAAUGUAACUAUUCUCCAGCUAUUUAUAUAGGCUUGGCAAAUAGAAUUGGAAUUUUGAGACCAACAGGAGCCAUGUCAUCCUUGCAACAAGAUUAUCCUGAGUUCUGGAAGCACACACCAGAGGUGCUGGACUGUACACACGGGCUGUUGUCAAUGUGAGUUGUCUCUUCCUGUAAUUUCCAGCAUGUCUGCAAAGAAGCUGCUGCCCCUGAAAAGAGUGACCCUGAAAAUAAGCUGGAACGUGCACAGGCAGCUGUAUUUCAGCACAGAAGAAACAAAGGGUGCAAAGAACAGGCUAAAACAGCAACAGGUACCAAGCCAACUUUUUGGGAUAACAGCGAAUAGCCAGAGAAAUUCAACAUUUUUGCUGGAAUGAGUCAAAGCCACGAGUCUCCUGUCACCAACCAAGCACUCAUUGCUAUAUUCUACCAGGUUCUGUGCACAGUCUGUAUCAGUUCUCUGCCCCUGUGCCAAGUUGUUUUUCACACAUUCUCCAGCCUGUUUCAUCACCCACUAUUUACCAAGCAGAAGAGGGUAAUCCUCAGCUUCCAGCCACGGUGUACAGAUCUGGAUAUGUUUAAAGUGCAGUUUCUGUAUCAGUCCAUUGUAGUAGUCUUUUAGAGGUCCUUUACCUGUUUAAAACAGAAAAGAAAAAUAUUUAGUAGUUUUUCAUCAAGCUGACUGAAAAUAGUGUGGUCUGUGAAUUUUACUGCACAGCUGCUGAGCUCCUGUUGCAUCAGGUACGUCCAAAAGGACACCACACAUGAUCCUCCAAAAGACACAUAAACAUCCAAGUCCCUUUCAAAGUGAUGUGUACCUAGAGUUUAAACUGUUCUGAACAUGGAGCAGUGCAGAACUGUAGUAGGGACAGGGAGUAGAGAGGGAGGUCAAGAGCUUCUCCUCUGAAAAUGUGCCAUGAUUACAUCGUGUGGGUUCAACUAUAAAUUCAACUAUAAGUUACCAUUCUUAUAACCAGAACUAAAGACAACAGUCUCUUCUCACCAUCAGAAGAGUCAGCAGGGAACAAAAGUGAAAAUGAAUGUUCUGUAUCAGCACUGAAAGAAUUGCAACACAAGCAGACCCUUACCUGUUAUCACACACACCAGAGCUGGAAGCUUGGCUCCCUCAUCAAUAAACCUCUCGUAGUCUGGAGAAGAUAAAACACUGCUUGGAGGCCACAAAUACACAGAUGGUUGGUUAACAGUGGUCACAGUGUAUUAAUUAUUUAGCCUCCUACUGCAAGUAAUUUCUUUACAGGCAUGUACUUAGUAAAACAGUAGUAAAUUCAGCAAUGUUAAAAUUUACAAACUUGUACAGAAAUAAAUCAUGCUCUGUUUAUGCAGCAAGCAUUUGCUCAACUGCCCCACAAUCAGCUGCUUCAAUAGAUCAAUUUACAAUUGCCAGCUGCAAAGCCUACAAAAUAAGACAAAGUAUUCCCUUCCUUCCUAUUAGCAGCUGCCUAUGGAGAGUAUC